GCUCAUACACUAAUGUAAAACUUAGGCCCUGGGGUGGUAAGCAGAUUUGGGAGAAAAGGGAAUGUAAUUCUUGGUUGAUGAUUCCACCAUCAUCAGAGAGGUGAAAUUCUCACUUUGAUGAUGAAUUUUUUAAAAAAUUCUUAUCAAUGAAAAAAAGAGCCCUUCUCAAAUGUAUACUACCAGCUAAUAUAUAACAUGCUGAAACAACAAAUUAAGAUAUUCAUGCAAUCUUCUUGGAUUUG
rnacentral:lncRNA from 1 species